UCCCUCUCAGGGUUGCACCUGGAGAGUUUCCAGUACUCUACCAGUCUCUGCUAUAGGAAGGAGAUUCAAUUAGAGGCAUAUCCAUUCCAUUCCUAGCUUGGGCAGUGGCUAGCGAGUGGAAGACAAUCUGCUAUAAGU